AAUUAAAGCUCUUUGUUCAUUGCUCCAUAAUGGCAGAGAAGAAUUCGAAAGGGAAGAAGCGAAAAUGGGAACCAGUAGAAUUGGACGAUCCUUCGUUCUUUGCGGGCGAAAUGGAUGGAUUUAUGUCCCUUGAAGUCAUGGAAGAUUAUCAUCCAGAAGAGCUAGCAGGAAUUGGUGCAGGUGGACCAGCUCAGAAGAAGAAAAUAAAAGAAUGGCCGCUGUAGGAGUGUCGCUGAUGGACAAAGUUGGGCUGCAGAAGAACAGUUGUAAAAUUAUCGAUGUCACCAACAAGAGAGGAACCGUAGAAACCCUGACAGAAGCAAAGAUCUCAUGUGCAAUUGAAGAGAUUUAAGCAAAGUGCGAGUGGCUUACUUCUGGCUACAGAUGUGGCCACGAGAGGUUUGGACAUACCAGCUGUCACUAUCAAGUUCCGAAGGACCUUGAUCUUUACAUUCACCGUAGUGGAAGGACAGCUAGAGCAAGCAGGGAAGGUCUGAGUGUCGUUCUUGUUGGCCCAGAAGAAAUGGGAUCAUACAAGAAAAUUAUGAAGACGCUUAA